ensembl:lincRNA
UAUAGACCUACCUCAUUAUUUUUAAUGGGCACAUAAGUUUCUGUUAUUUACAUAUACCAUAUUUUAGUUACUCAUUUCUUUAUAGAACCCUACACUACAUGAUAUCAUGUAGAUAUAGAAUAUAGUGCUAAGCACUAUACUGUUAUCUCAUAAAAUUAUGAGAAAAAUUCUAUUCAGAAAAUAUUAUGUCUUUAUUUUGUAGGUGAAGAAACUUCAGGAGCAAUUCUACAUAAUUUUGGGGAAAAACCAUUUCACAAUUAAAUUAUGAUCAGGUCUAGUCUUGCCUACAGGCCGGCUAUGGCAUGUUGAGACAUAACUCCACUUUUGCCUCCAGUCACAGCUAAAACCUCAAUGGCCCUGUGAUGCUGUGACCCUCCAGGAUUACACCAGCUGAAGACAUCCUGGUUCCUUGAGAACCGAGUUGUAAGAGAAAGGUUUCACUUGGGAGAGACAAAUUCCUAAUCAACGUAAAUUCCUUGUAGACCUAGUAUCUUCAUCAGCAUAAAUUCCUCAUUGUCCUAGGAUUAUUGCUGCCCUCUAAGUCAUCUACUCCCAGAUGUACUGAAAAGGUGUGGCAAGCUCUGGGGUGUCUUCAUUUUUGCUGCCCAGAGCACUAUUGAUCAGGCCCAAAGCUCAGCUGCUUCUUUAAGUCUCAUCCUGUCUUUAUUCAUUAAUUUGCCUCAUGCUGUCAUGGCUCACAGGAGACCAGGACUAACUGCAGGGGUUCUGGUAAUGUUCCCUUUCCCUGUUCCCUACAGAAACUGAGCUUAGAAAAGUGGAGUAAUUUGGCUAGGUUUACACAGUAAAUGGAGAAUGUAGAAUUUAAGCUCUGUAUCAUAAACCUCCAAAAUCUGUGCUAUAUUGUACAUCAUUUUGAUGAGAUUAUAUGUUUUAUAUUUUUUCUUACAGUUUUCUGCACUAACUUUUCUAAGACAGAUGGACGAUGUCAUCUAUCUGGUCGUUGCCUGAAGAAUUUCUAUCACAGUGGUUUCUUCAGGAAUGUUUCACACCCCAAACUGGAAGCAAUCCAAAUGUUCCACAGCUCAAUGGAAGAACAAAUUAAGGUAUAUAUUAACGGAAUGGAGUACCAUACAGAAAUAGGAAAUAUAUGAUUACUACUUGCAGUAAAAUAAAUGAAUCUCACAGACAUAAAGGUAUGUAAAGGAAAUUGCAAAACGGUAUAUUUCAUUUACAUGAAAAGUUCAAGUACAAUUAAGCAAACCCAUUUGGUGAUACAAGUCAGAAUAGUAAGUUCUGUUGGGGCUGGGGAGAGUAUUAGUAAGAAGGUGGAAUGAACAUCUUGGGUUGCUGGCAAUGUUCUGUAUUUUGUUCUGGGCAGUGUUGUAUGCGUAUAAACAUUUAAACAUGUUUAGGGCUGCACAACUAAGUAUGCACUCUAUGAUUGUUAACAGUCUAGCGAGCUUUGUGUUGGAUUAAGUUCUUGUAUAUGGCCUCAGCAGAUCAAACUAAACAUCAAAACAGAGUCAUUCAUCCUACAGUUUCAAAUAAAAAUUAAGCUCUUUAUCUGAUAUUUCAAGAAACCAGGAGAAAUGAGAGAUAACAGCCAACUUCCCCAAACAGGUCAGUUUCAAUUGUCAUGAUAAUGAAUUCCCUCUGCUUUAAUCCUUACACAAAGUAAGUGAUUUCAAGUAAUGUGAUUUUUUUGUUGUUGUGUUUUUGGUACCGGGGAUCGAACUCAGGACUUUGCGCUUGUGAGGCAGGUGGCGGCACCACUGAGCUACAUCUCCAGUCCAAUGUGAUGUUAAGUAGUCAAUAAUUUUUCUAUUUCCCUAUCCCCUUCUUAUAAGAGAAGUAACUUUAAAAUAGCCAAUCUAUUCUUUGUGCUUUGUUUCUGCUUUUCUCAGUCUUCUCUGUCUAUAAAACCAACUUCUGCUAAGAGCAUCAAAACUAUACUAGGCUGGGGAUUUAGCUCAGGGGUUCUGAGGCCUGCCUUGCAAGCACAAGGACCCAAGUUCAAUUCCUGGUACCCCUCCCCCCAAAUUCUACUUCACAGAAUGAAAUGUUCAAAUCUAAAAUGGAAAACAGACAAUAAAGAUUCUUAAACCAAAUUGCUGUAAUUUUUCCUUUGACAUGUAUCUAAGUUAAAACAAGGAAAAUAUUU